rnacentral:sRNA from 1 species
AACACUUGAUCGAACAAUCUUGUGGGAGAAUUCUGAUUGAUGACUGUAUUUUAUUAUCUGCCAACCAUUUGAGCUCGUUUGUGAUUUUUCUUUUUCUUUUCUUUUUCUUUAAUUUGACCCAAGAGUAACAUAGCAAGUCGAGUGGGACUGGGUUGCAUGGGAUAUGGAAGCUGUGACGCGGGGAUUGGAGGAGAAAGCUCAAUAAACAUGUCAACAAGUAGGAAAUCGCUUGCGGGCAUACACAUAUAUUAAUCUAACAGAGCAAGGAACAUCCUUUUUGAGCGUAAGGAACAUGGAGGAAAAAAGAGAAAUAGGAAAGUUGGAUAAGGGGCCAUGAUACUAUCUCGUAAUCGUACAUAUCUUCUAGCGAUCAAUAGGAAAGAGGGAAAUGGGCACAGAAAAGCCGGAUUGGUUGUCGCUAUCCAUAAUUUGUUGGAAAGGGGAAGUUAUUAGAAGGAGGUUGAGGAAUGACAUUUGAGAGUAGAUGUGGGGUGUUGGUGUACAAACUAUCGGUGAGAAUCUGUGGGACGCAAUGUCAAAUGCGGGAACAUAACAUAGGAAAAAUGUAUUUCGUGUACACUCGAGAGACAAAAAAAAAGGUAGAUUGGGAGAGAAAUUCUUUCAACUGAAGGGUCAUGACUGGCCUGGCGAUUGCUGUUAGGGAAUCGAUGGCCAACGAUGGUUAGAUGGAAGAGUAGAUCGAUGCGUCGUCGUAUCGUUGAACAUACGAAAGUUCAAUAUCCUUUCGCGGAAUCAAAUGUGAUGGUUUAUACAUGUACUUGCAACAGCAAUACUCUUAAGAGAUGCACAGUACAAUCAAGGCCGAAGCUCUUCUCCUAACUGUAAAUGCAAUGCUCCUCUUUUCUCACGCACUGUCGAGGGACUUCCA